rnacentral:rRNA from 1 species
GACGAACGCUGGCGGCGUGCUUAACACAUGCAAGUCGAACGGAAAGGCCCCUUCGGGGGUGCUCGAGUGGCGAACGGGUGAGUAACACGUGGGUGAUCUGCCCUGCACUUCGGGAUAAGCCUGGGAAACUGGGUAUAAUACCGGAUAGGACCGCGCGCUGCAUGUCGGGUGGUGGAAAGCUUUUGCGGGGUGGGAUGGGCCCGCGGCCUAUCAGCUUGUUGGUGGGGUGAUGGUCUACCAAGGGGACGGCGGGUAGGCGGCCUGAGAGGGUGUCCGUCCACACGGGGUCUAGGAUACGGCCAAGACUCCGACGGGAGGCAGCAGUGGGGAAUAUUGCACAAUGGGCGCAAGCCUGGUGCAGCGUCACCGCGUGAGGGAUGACGGCCUUCGGGUUGUAAACCUCUUUCAGUAGGGACGAAGCGCAAGUGACGGUACCUACAGAAGAAGCACCGGCCAACUACGUGCCAGCCGCCGCCGUAACAC